CGUAACACGUAUGUAACCUACCUUUACCAGGGGGAUAGCCUCUCGAAAGAGAGACUAAGACCGCAUAAUAUGAAGAUACAGCAUUGUGACUUCAUCAAAUAUUUAUAGGGUAAAGAUGGGCAUGCGGAACAUUAGCUAGUUGGUAAGGUAAUGGCUUACCAAGGCUACGAUGUUUAGGGGAUCUGAGAGGAUGACCCCCCACACUGGUACUGAGACACGGACCAG
rnacentral:rRNA from 1 species